rnacentral:pre_miRNA from 1 species
UAGACAGAUUAUUGUAUUCAACUGUAUUCGACUAUAUUCACGGCGUGAAACAGGGGAUUACAUUGUGUUUUAAAUAUAAAGUGAAUCAAUUAACAUAAUAAACUCCU